rnacentral:rRNA from 1 species
UACGUAGGGGGCUAGCGUUGUCCGGAAUCAUUGGGCGUAAAGAGCGUGUAGGCGGCCCGGUAAGUCCGCUGUGAAAGUCGGGGGCUCAACCCUCGAAUGCCGGUGGAUACUGUCGGGCUAGAGUGCGGAAGAGGCGAGUGGAAUUCCUGGUGUAGCGGUGAAAUGCGCAGAUAUCAGGAGGAACACCAAUUGCGAAGGCAGCUCGCUGGGACGUAACUGACGCUGGAGACGCGAAAGCGUUGGGGAGCAAACGGG